UUCAUUCCAUAAAAAACAGAAAUAAGGAAAUUCGAUAUUUCGUGUACCAUCAGCAUCCAAAUUUUCAAGUAUACAGAAAUUUAACUUUCCGGAAUAUAACGGAAAUUUUCGGGUAUCUCCGUGGUACCAUCUCCGUGCAAUUAUGCAGUAUGGCGUUCAUCUCUUACGGAAAGAGAAUGGUAACUUGUUGCUGCUUGGGACAAUAAAGUUAAGUCAGCAACCGUCUACCAGACUGCAAGAUUCAUCUCUUCCAAAGGAUGUCGUACCUUUCCAGAUACACUGUGUUUUGUGUGGAUAAGAAAUGCAGAGUGGUACCACCAAUCACCUAAGCCACCAUUCCCCUAACAGACAAUAGGCUCAUGGGGACAGUUCCUGCAAUUUACAGAAAAGCUCUCAAUUGUAGCCCUACGAACAUCAGAUACUGCCGAUGGUGAAGCUUGGGUGCACCGGGCCGGUUUUCCAGCCGUGUGGAAUCAACAUCUCCAGCUGAACUGGGGCCGGGAAUUAUAUAAGACUCCUUAGCAGCAUG